rnacentral:rRNA from 1 species
CCUACGGGUGGCUGCAGUGGGGAAUAUUGCACAAUGGGGGAAACCCUGAUGCAGCAACGCCGCGUGAGCGAAGAAGGCCUUCGGGUCGUAAAGCUCUGUCCUAAGGGAAGAAGCAUGACGGUACCUUAGGAGAAAGCCCCGGCUAACUACGUGCCAGCAGCCGCGGUAAUACGUAGGGGGCGAGCGUUAUCCGGAAUCACUGGGCGUAAAGGGUGCGUAGGCGGCCGAUUAAGCCAGGGGUGAAAGGCUACGGCUCAACCGUAGUAAGCCCUUGGAACUGAUUGGCUUGAGUGCAGGGGAGGGGAGUGGAAUUCCUAGUGUAGCGGUGAAAAGCGUAGGUAUUAGGAGGAACGCCAGUGGCGAAGGCAAGUCUCUGGACUGGAACUGACGAUGAGGCACGAAAGCGUGGGGAGCAAACAGGUUUAGAUACCCGUGUAGUC